rnacentral:rRNA from 1 species
UGCCAGCAGCCGCGGUAAUACGGAGGGUGCAGGCGUUAAUCGGAAUUACUGGGCGUAAAGCGCGCGUAGGCGGUUGUCUAAGCUAGAUGUUAAAGCCCGGGGCUCAACCCCGGAAGUGCAUUGGAAACUGGCGAACUUGAGUACGGGAGAGGAAAGUGGAAUUCCGAGUGUAGGGGUGAAAUCCGUAGAUAUUCGGAGGAAUACCAGUGGCGAAGGCGGCUAACUGGACUGAUACUGACGCUGAGGUGCGAAAGUGUGGGGAGCAAACAGGAUUAGAUA